ensembl:lncRNA
AUGGCCAGCAGGGAACCAGCAGCUGCCAGGACAGCGGUUAAGCUACCGAAGUUCUCCGGGGCAACUCAGCUGGAGCCGUACCUGGCACAGUUCCGGCUCGCUGAGUGGCACAACGGCUGGGGUGCCGGGGAGGCGGUCGUCCACCUCGCCCUGGCGCUGGAGGGGACAGCGGUGCAGGCGCUCCUGGACCCUGCCCCAGCGGACCAACGGGACCUCGGGGCCCUGACCCGGGCCUUGGAGAGGCGUUUCGGGCAGCGGGCCAUCGGCAGCCACAGCCGCGAGCUGCUAAACAGACGCCGCCACCAGGAGGGGGAACGGUUUGGGGCCUACGCAGCGGACUUGCAGCUGUACGCCCAGCGGGGUUACCCAGGCAUCCCUGCUGCGGCAUUGCAACCCUUUAAUACAACAUUCACAGCAGAGGACUGAACGAGAGAAGGCGGGAGCGAUAGAGACGCCGUCCUCACCGCCGGACCAGACCCGGGGACGGACCCUUUUUGCCCCAUAUGAGGAAGAACCUAUAUUUCCUUUUGUUUUACCUUUUUCACGUGAGCUGCACGAAUUAAAACGUUGCCCCGCAACCCUGCUUCAGCUUGUCCUUCUCAAAUCUCAGCCGCCGAUGACCGGGGUUGCCACAACAUUCUCUUAUAUUGCCUGCUUACCUGUCAACAUACACAGACAUUGCGACACAUUUGUUUACAACACUUUCUGUCCGCCAUGCCUCAACGCUACGGAAGAGGAUUAGGGCCACACAUGUAAAAAAAAAUUAAGUUCUGACUUUAUUCUCAGAAUUCUGAGAAAAAAGUCAGAAUUCUGACAUUAAUCUCAGAAUUCUGAGAUAAAAAAUCAGAAUUCUGACUUUAAUCUCAGAAUUCUGACUUUUUUCUCAGAAUUCUGAGAUUAAAGUCAGAAUUCUGACAUUAAUCUCAGAAUUCUGAGAAAAAAGUCAGAAUUCUGACUUUAAAGUCAGAACUACGGGUAUCUGUAAGGACCAACCUCCGUGGGAGAGACACUUUGCUUUAUGCAGUAGGAGGAACCCUAUGGAAAGCCAAGAAGGCCACAAUCCGGCCCUAGAAUGGCGCGGUAAAAGUGCACGUCCCAUAGCCAACUCACCAAGCUCACCAAGUCCAGUAUUCAGAAUUCAAAGCAUUUAUUCACAAAUACGUUCUAUUUUUUUGACAAGCGGAGCCGACAGUCCUGUGCAAGUAUGCAAAUUAGCCAUGUGCGCCAAACAGAAGAUAGACGCAAUGUAUAGAACUGAUUGUUGUGCAUUGUUGUGGAUAUGUAGGCUGGUUAGUUGUGGUUGUUUGUGGUCUUAGUGAAACAGCUUUGCCUUGGAGUUGGAGAAGUUGGAGUGAUUGUGUGAAUGUGCGAGAGAGAGCGCACCUGCCGUGGUGAUGUUGGGCUUGUUGUGGGCUUAUAUGUGAUCAAUGAUGUAUCUGUCUGAUCGUAUUAGCUGUAGAUGGAUGGUUAAAUAAUGUCACAAGAUCGGUCAUACUGCAGGCUCUCAUUUGCAAAUGCACUGAUUGUGUGCCCGUCUCCGAUAUGCUAUAUACCUGGCAUUUAUUCAGUUCAUGUUCUUCUGAGUGCGCAAGAACGGUGCCAAUUAUUGUCGUGCUUGCAUUGUAAUGCACAACUUUGCCCCUCCCUGUUAUAAAAUAACUUGCAUCCCAACAACUUUAGCCAAUGCAGGCUCCUAUUGCUUUACCAGUGUGUUUAACGUGUGUGCGUGUGUGCGUGUGUGUGUGUGUGUGUGUGUGUGUGUGUGUGUGUGUGUGUGUGUGUGUGUGUGUGUGUGUGUGUGUGUGUGUGUGUGUGUGUGUGUGUGUGUGUGUGUGUGUUGUCAUGUAGGCUAUAGAUAUAGAUCGAUUGUCUUGGCUUGCUUGCAUCCAUGAAAUAUUGUAAUGUUAUGGCCUAGCUGGCUACUGCAUAUCGAGAACAAUCUGGGGAUGAGGGCAUCCCCGAUUAUUGACGGGUAUUUCGCACACUGCCAUCUCAAUAUGACUAAUAGCCGCGGCUAUUAGUUCCGUACGGAUUCCGUACGGAAUUCUUGCACUUUUACCGCGCCAUUCUAGGGCCGGAUUGUGGCCUUCUUGGCUUUCCAUAGGUUUCCUCCUACUGCAUAAAGCAAAGUGUCUCUCCCACGGAGGUUGGUCCUUACAGAUA